GACUGAGCGACUGAACUGAACUGAACUGAUGAUCACCAAUUAUCAUCUGCCAAAGUCUACCUUUUAGCUCAAAAGGGUGCAGUUUCCAGAAUUCCUCAUAUUUUUCUCAUCUAUAAUUUUCCAAAUAUUCCCUGUUUUUUUCUUUUUUUCUUAGAAUUGCUCAUUUGACAAGAAAACCCCUAUACCUACUUGAAUAUGCCAUUCACUUCCGUCUAAGAGCCAGCCUUGAUCACUCUCAGGAAGGAUUAAGAAUUAAAUUAAUGAAAAAAGUACUGUUUUGGUAACUGUUUAUAUGCCUGUGUCUCCUACUAGACUGUAAGAAUCUCAGUAUUCC
rnacentral:lncRNA from 1 species